UGGGGAAUAUUGCGCAAUGGGCGAAAGCCUGACGCAGCGACGCCGCGUGGGGGAUGAAGCUUCUCGGAGUGUAAACCCCUUUCGACCCGGACGAAUGACCCGCAAGGGUUUGACGGUACGGGUAUAAGAAGCCCCGGCUAACUACGUGCCAGCAGCCGCGGCAAUACGUAGGGGGCCAGCGUUGCUCGGAAUUACUGGGCGUAAAGGGUUCGUAGGUGGUGCGGUAAGUUGGAAGUGAAAUCUCUGGGCUUAACCCAGAGGCUGCUUUCAAAACUGUCGCGCUCGAGUGCGAGAGAGGUCAGUGGAAUUGCAGGUGUAGCGGUGAAAUGCGUAGAUAUCUGCAGGAACACCCGUGGCGAAGGCGGCUGACUGGAUCGCAACUGACACUGAGGAACGAAAGCUAGGGGAGCAAACAGGAUUAGAUACCCUGGUAGUCCUAGCCCUAAACCAUCGGAACUUGGGGUGGCCCGCGUAGGCGGGUCGUCCCGUAGCUAACGCGUUAAGUUCCGCGCCUGGGGAGUACGGUCGCAAGACUG
rnacentral:rRNA from 1 species